GCAAAGGGAGCGGUGGAGGUAUGCUCGGGAGCGCGGGCCCGCAGCGCAAGCGCAGCGGCAGCCCGGU
rnacentral:ribozyme from 1 species